GUAAGUUCUGACCCGCACGAAUGGAGUAAUCAUGUGGGCACUGUCUCAGCGAAGGCCUCGGUGAAAGUGCAUUGGCGGUAAAGAUGCCGUCUGUCCGUACCAGGACGAGAAGACCCCAUGGAGCUUUACUACAGCUUUACAUUGAUUCGGGUUACAACAUGUGUAGCAUAGCUGGGAGGCUUUGAAGCAGAUACGCCAGUAUUUGUGGAGCCACAGGUGAAAUACCAGCCUUGUUGUGAUCUUAAUCUCACCAUUACCAUUAUCUGGUAAUGGGACCGUGUAUGGUGGGUAGUUUAACUGGGGCGGUUGCCUCCUAAAGAGUAGCGGAGGCGUUCAAAGGUUGGCUAACUUCGGAUGGAAAUCGAAGUGAUAGUGUAUGCGCAUAAGCCAGCUUGACUGUGAGGAGUACAUUCCAAGCAGAGACGAAAGUCGGAGCAAGUGACCCGCUAUACGUACAUUUGUACAUGAAUGUGGGAUCGAUAGCGC
rnacentral:rRNA from 1 species